rnacentral:rRNA from 1 species
GAUGAACGCUGGCGGCGUGCCUAAUACAUGCCAGUCGAGCGAACGGACGAGAAGCUUGCUUCUCUGAUGUUAGCGGCGGACGGGUGAGUAACACGUGGAUAACCUACCUAUAAGACUGGGAUAACUUCGGGAAACCGGAGCUAAUACCGGAUAAUAUUUUGAACCGCAUGGUUCAAAAGUGAAAGACGGUCUUGCUGUCACUUAUAGAUGGAUCCGCGCUGCAUUAGCUAGUUGGUAAGGUAACGGCUUACCAAGGCAACGAUGCAUAGCCGACCUGAGAGGGUGAUCGGCCACACUGGAACUGAGACACGGUCCAGACUCCUACGGGAGGCAGCAGUAGGGAAUCUUGCGCAAUGGGCGAAAGCCUGACGGAGCAACGCCGCGUGAGUGAUGAAGGUCUUCGGAUCGUAAAACUCUGUUAUUAGGGAAGAACAUAUGUGUAAGUAACUGUGCACAUCUUGACGGUACCUAAACAGAAAGCCACGGCUAACUACGUG